GUCAUGUACUGAAUGACCUUCCUUUUAGAGAAAGAAAACCUUGCAACACCUUAGAGAAGAAAAACUCCUGCAGAAAAGGGAGAUAUAAUAUCGAGAAAUUAGUAAUACAUAUGCUUAAGGGGGUAUAUAUUCUUUGUCUGCAGGCAAAGGGACGUAAAAAAAUCCCAUAACAGUUGUCAAACAACGGGUGGACACAAACAAACGCGCUCGCAGGCUUGCGCUCAAAUAUACACACACACAAACAAACACACACAUAUACAUACACACACGACGGAUAUCCAGACAGUUUCUAUCUAUAAAUUCACUUACAAGGCCUUACAAGCGUAGCAGAGAACAUCUCUUUCCCUGUCAUCACCUGACUGACUAUUCUUUGCGCGGGUAAAUUAUCUCCAGUCCGUUCACUCCAGGACGCAAAUCGACCAACCGUAGCUCCUAAUAAGGUCACGUGAGAGUGUUCUUCUGAUGGUUCUCUGGAGCCUAUCUGUAUCUAUAAAUAGCCUGCUAAGCUACCCGCCAAUUCGUCGUGGCUCAGAUCUUCUGAGAUCUGGUCGUUUGACCACACACGCGUAACACAGCACCAACCAGCCAGCCAGUUCCAGCGACGACAUCAACAACCACUUCAACUACGACUACCAGCAUCGUCGCCAGCGUCAACAUGACUUCUACACGUACACAAAUUACCAAACAACCACCGCAGCUUCUCUUCUCAACCCUGUUUGUGUGAAUCGCCGCACCACGAAAUAACCGCCAGAAUUCGACACCUGCGAGAACCCAUCUGUAUUAAGAACCCGGCCCGGCAUAGAAGCCCCAACAUCAUGACGAGUGACCGCUCUGCCUUAAACUUAACUUCUUACAUGCAGACCUACAAUCUAACUGUGUACCUCAACAGAACUGAACUGUUUGUGUGCGUGAUGGUGCGGCUUAGAGAAGAUGAUUGAGAUUACUACAAUAUGAGUAACUAACUACAGCAGCAUCCAAGACUUUUACAAUGUCAGCAACUAUUUGGAGAUGAAAUAUUUUCAGAUCCUGAAGGAGUUGACUAGUCUAUGGGACGCAGUUUUGGUUAUAUGAUCAGGAGAGAUCAUCAAUGAGCGUGGAAGUCUGUCAUUUGUAGUUUGUAACUUUGAAGGUUUUACCUGCAUGCUGUCCAGAACUAGAGGGUAGGGUAAAAGACUGUUUCUUUGAUAUAUCUAAUGGCUGUGUCUCGUGCCUUGUGCCUAGACAAAACAAAAAGCACACAACAAAUAAACAUCAGCAAGCACCGAAGAAGUAAUGUACUUGGUAUUAGCCAUUUCACUUCUCUUACGAAGCUAAUACUUUUCAGAAAUCUUUAUAAUUCAUUCCAGGUGGAUCCUAUCGGCUCCAUAGUUCCUAAUAAAGGACUUAUUUUCA
rnacentral:lncRNA from 1 species